CAGUCGCCGCGGUAAUACAGAGGGUGCGAGCGUUAAUCGGAUUUACUGGGCGUAAAGCGUGCGUAGGCGGCUUCUUAAGUCGGAUGUGAAAUCCCUGAGCUUAACUUAGGAAUUGCAUUCGAUACUGGGAAGCUAGAGUAUGGGAGAGGAUGGUAGAAUUCCAGGUGUAGCGGUGAAAUGCGUAGAGAUCUGGAGGAAUACCGAUGGCGAAGGCAGCCAUCUGGCCUAAUACUGACGCUGAGGUACGAAAGCAUGGGGAGCAAACAGGAUUAGAUACCCCAGUAGUCCCUGUCUCUUAUAA
rnacentral:rRNA from 1 species